CAUGCAAGUCGAACGAUGAACCGGUGCUUGCACUGGGGAUUAGUGGCGAACGGGUGAGUAACACGUGAGUAACCUGCCCUUAACUCUGGGAUAAGCCUUGGAAACGAGGUCUAAUACUGGAUAUUGACUUUUCCUCGCAUGGGGAUUGGUUGAAAGAUUUAUUGGUUUUGGAUGGACUCGCGGCCUAUCAGCUUGUUGGUGAGGUAAUGGCUCACCAAGGCGACGACGGGUAGCCGGCCUGAGAGGGUGACCGGCCACACUGGGACUGAGACACGGCCCAGACUCCUACGGGAGGCAGCAGUGGGGAAUAUUGCACAAUGGGCGAAAGCCUGAUGCAGCGACGCCGCGUGAGGGAUGACGGCCUUCGGGUUGUAAACCUCUUUCAGUAGGGAACAAGGCCAGACGUUGUCUGGUUGAGGGUACUUGCAGAAGAAGCGCCGGCUAACUACGUGCCAGCAGCCGCGGUAAUACGUAGGGCGCAAGCGUUAUCCGGAAUUAUUGGGCGUAAAGAGCUCGUAGGCGGUUUGUCGCGUCUGCCGUGAAAGUCCGGGGCUCAACUCCGGAUCUGCGGUGGGUACGGGCAGACUAGAGUGAUGUAGGGGAGACUGGAAUUCCUGGUGUAGCGGUGAAAUGCGCAGAUAUCAGGAGGAACACCGAUGGCGAAGGCAGGUCUCUGGGCAUUAACUGACGCUGAGGAGCGAAAGCAUGGGGAGCGAACAGGAUUAGAUACCCUGGUAGUCCAUGCCGUAAACGUUGGGCACUAGGUGUGGGGGACAUUCCACGUUUUCCGCGCCGUAGCUAACGCAUUAAGUGCCCCGCCUGGGGAGUACGGCCGCAAGGCUAAAACUCAAAGGAAUUGACGGGGGCCCGCACAAGCGGCGGAGCAUGCGGAUUAAUUCGAUGCAACGCGAAGAACCUUACCAAGGCUUGACAUGAACUGGAAACGCUUGGAAACAAGUGCCCCGCUUGCGGUCGGUUAAC
rnacentral:rRNA from 1 species